GGCACUUUGCAGAGCAGAUGUUAAGCUAGAUGUUUGCACUGGUUGUUUAAGUGAAACUAUAUCAAGGGUCAAGCUGGAUUGUCCUAACAACAAAGAAGCCAUCGGAUGGUCUGCGGAUUGCACGUUACGGUACUCGAACACAAACCUCUCCGAGAAGUUGGAAAUUAAUCCUCAAACCUGUCUAUAUAAUACAGGAUCUACGGUUGAUGAGUACUUCCAGCUCAGACUCGGAGAAUUGUUGAGUGACCUGCGUAAUAAAGCAGCAUCAGGGGGUGCUCUUCUUAAAUAUGCAGCAGGUAACUCGUCGCUCAGGGCUUCGGAAAGGUUAUACGCUCUAGUGCAGUGCACUCCUGAUUUGUCUGAGGGAGACUGCAAUCAUUGUCUUGAUAAGGCGGCAACCAACGGGAUUCUGCGGUGUUGCCUUAAGCAGAGGGGAUGCCGGGUUCUUAGUCCUAGCUGUAACUUGAGGUUCGAAACAUAUCCCUUUGUUGAAGCCGGAGUGGAGUUUCCACCACCCCCGUCACCCUCGGGCGAUCGGCAAAAAGAAGGUACGACAAUUUUCCUUCCACUGUCACUUCUUCCAACCACCUGUUAGCACAGCUUCACUUUGGAGGCACUAUAUUAGCCUAUCACUCUUGUUGAAUCGAGAAAAUCUGAUUCUGCCCUUAUAUAAUUAGAAGAGGAACCAAACAAAUCAAAAAGGACGCCAGUACUUGUUGCAAGUUUAUCAGUGAUAUUUGGGGUAGCUGUGGUUUCUAUCUCAGGUUUCUUAAUCUGGAAGAGGAGAAACAAUCAAGGUAUGCAGUGGCAAACAUUACAAAUUUGUUUUGUAUUGUUAUAUUGAUCACUUUCUUACUUUCUUCUUUUAUUAAUUUCAGAUACAGAGUACAGAGAAAUUCAAUUACUUGACUUGGUAGAGGGAAGAAUUGAUAUGUGAGAAUCAAGUUUGUAACGUUAGGUAUAAUUAAUAAAUGAAUUCUUUCGGGGAACACUAGCGGAUGGUAAACAACUGCAGUUAAAAGGCUAUCAAGAACCUCCGAUCAAAAGCUUGUUGAGUUCAAAAAUGAAAUCAUGUGCUUUUUUCCUUCUUUUUUUCCCUACUAAGCUACAAUUUUAGGUAUGGAAGCUCUUAUCUGAAUACAGCUAAUAGAUAAGUUCCUUACUCCGUCGAGUGUAAUUUUUGAGGUGCUUAAAUGCAUUUUGGGUUAUUGUACAUGCAAGAAAAUCUGCUACUCAGUCUAAUCAAAUCAUCUCUUAUUGUCAUGUUCGCAACCGAUACCGUAAAACUUUCUCGUGCAAUUAAACCAACAUCCUUUUUGGGCAUAUCAUUGCGGAAUCAAUCAAACACAUUUCAAAUGAUGAAUUUUUUUAUUAUUAUUAAAAAUUUUCACCUCGCUGAUUUGAUCACUAUUUUAAUUUUAAGAUUAUAUAUUUGAAUGUAAAAAUUAGUAUAAAGCCGAUAACUAAUCAAUUUAUGAAUAUUAUUUUUAAUGUGUGGAAGCACCUUAAUUAGUAAACAAAGUUCAAACUUGCAUCAAAUUAUACUCCCAAAAAUAUACAAAAUUUAGCUACCCUUUCUUCUUUCAAUCCGCUCUGCUGGACUUGUAUUAGGGAUGAGCAAAACUUGAUUUAAUUUGAAAAAAUAAAAAAAUUUCAAAUUUCGAAUUAAUCGAAUCGAGUUAUUCGAGUUAUUCAAUUUUUUUGAGUCAAGUUAAAUAAGUAGUUUGAGUUUCAAGUUCAAGUCGAGUUGAAUUUUAUAAUUCGAAUAACUAGAAUAAUUUAAUAACAUUUUGGUAUAACUGCUCCUUUAGUCCCCGUCAAGUUUAAAAAUGAGCAAAUCAGUCUCUCUCUUAACAAAAAUUACAAAAAUUUCAAAAUAAUUUUUAAAAUUCAAAACAUUUAUAAAAAUUUCAAACUUUAUAUUUUUUUAAAGAAUUGUAAAAAAAAUUUGUAAAAAAAUUCUAAAUAAUAUAUAAAGAAAGUUACAAUUUUGAAAUUUUCUAAAAUAAUAAUUUUAGGGACUUAAAUAAUUUAAUUAAUCAUUCAAGUUUAUCAUAGUAAAAUAUCUUUUCUUUUUUCUUUUUUUUCUUUAAAUUUUUUUAAAUAUAUACAGUUUCAAAUUUACGUGCUCAAACAUGAUAUUAGUUAUAUUGUAAUAAUAUUUUAAUUUGACAUGAUUAAUUUUUUAAUUUAGCUCGAACAAUUUCACUCGAUUUGACUCGACCUAAAUUUCAUUUCACGCGACUCGAUUUAAAAAAAUUCAAAUCAUAUUAAGAUGAUAAAAUAGGACUUCUCAACUUGAUUAACUCAAAAUUUUUUCACUUCAUUUGAUUGAACCUUCUUCCUUAUUUACGUCGCAAUUAGAAAACAUAUAGUAGCAAGGAAGAGUUCAAUUUUUAUACGAAAAAUAAAAUUUCAAAAAGUUACAUGUGCUUUUUUUAUAAAUAUACUCUAAAAAGGGUUAAUCUAAAUUAUAAAAUCUAAAAAUUUAUUUGAUAAUGGAUCCAAUAAUGAAUAAUUUCUCUACCACCGAAUUGAACAUUGCAUUUCAGUUUUAAAAUCUAUUCUAAUCAAAGAAACCAAAUUAACUUGACUUUGAAGAAAUCAAGCCAAGUCCUACACCAUAAAUAGGCAGUCUGAUAAUUGGGUAUAUAUGCACUAAAGAUAACCAAGAAAAAUGAGACACGUUCCUACCAUGUCCUUUCAAAAUGUCUUUAAAUUCUACCCGUAUAUUUUUCCACAACUUGCAUCGCCAUUUUAUGAGAGAUCCAUCAAUUACAGACAAAAACAUAAAGGAACCCAAAGGCCAAGUCUUAUAAACUUGUCGUUAUUAGCUGUACCAGAAAAAACAACCUUGUUUGUCUAAUACAAUUCCAACUUGCAUGUUUUGUAUCCUCAUAUUCUAAUUUCUGUAGAGGAUUUUUUAUGGAAAAAAGGAAUUUUAUAAGUGAAACGGAAUGCAACAAAAGACGAUGAAAAGGAAGAUUAGAAUAGAUAUUUCAUAACAUAGAUGAUAGCUUAUAAGGUGGAGAAAAAUUACUAAGUGUGGCUGUAGGUACAAGGGUAAUAAAGUUGCACAUUAAAUAGGAGUAAUAAGAGGCAUUUUUACUAAUAAAGAAUUUAGGUCUUGUAUAAUAGUGAAUAAUCCAUUUUAAAAAAAAAAUGGAAGAUGUAUUUAAUGUUACAAGAAAAGGUUAACAUGUAACAUUUAACUAUUGAUAGAAGUUCUUGUGCUUUAAGUUUCUUUGUUGAAGAUAUAUGGAUUGACUUAUUACACCAACCUAAGUUCUCCAAAAUUUCAAAAUGGUAAAGAUAAUCGAAGAAUCUUAUCAUAUUCUUGUCGAGUAAUAUUUUAUCAUGUCUUAUUGAUAAGAGUGUUCGAGUAUUUAUACAUGUUGUUACAAAAGCUAUUACAGCUCAUGAUAGGGCCCCACUAUUUUAACUUGACUCAACUGCCUCUAGUACUGAUACUUUCUAUCCCUAGUACUGACAUUCUUUGUAAGCUCCAGGUUUGUUGGGCACGUGUCUAUGGAGCACACGAUCCUUUCUGUUCCUGGGACUAACAUUCUAGGCGGGCUCCGUACCUACUGGACUCGUGCCUAGGUGGCCUACGGAGCACACGGCCCUUUCUGCGAGCUCCCUAAGUCCUCGCGAGUUGGAUCUGUGGCCUUGCGUUACAAGAUGGGUCCUUGGCUUUGCCUUGCGAGUUGAGUUCACGAGCUCGUUCUGCGAGCAGGGUGAGCUAACUCCCCUUGCUAUCCUCUCGUGGCUCGCUUCGCACCCAAUCUUUUGGUGGGACCUAUCCGGGUCACAGGUAGGUGACCCAGAUCCUAUCUAGGACUCAGGUUGAUGAUCACCAAUGUAUAACAAUUCUAAUGUUAUUUUCAUAACUAUUUUAAUUAAGUAGUAUAAUGUGAAACAUUUUUUGCAUAUCAUCUCUUAGAACAUGAGUUGUUUUUGUAAAAGAUUUGUUCUUAAAUAAGGUUGUUUUCAAAUAAGAAUUGUUCUAAUAUAUUCUGAUCAUGAAUUUUCUCAAUUAAUUAUUAUUGACAGGUUGUUCCUAACAAUAGGUGUUUUGAAUAUAAUUAUUCUUAAAUUUCAAUUAUUCUAAAUAAGAGUUGUUUUAAAUAUUAAUUAUUCUUAACAAGAGCUAUUCUCAAACAAUUACUAUUAUAGGCAUCAACAGUUGUGAACAUAAUAGUUAUUCUAGAGCAACGGUUGAUUUGAGUGGUGAUUAUUCUAAACAAAAGUUACUCUUCAGAUAAAAAUAUUUAAAAAGAAAACAAUAGAAGUGAUUAGAAUAUAUUUAUCUCGAAGUUGAAUUUAUGUGAAUCAAACCUACUCAAACCUUAAACAACUUAAACUCAAUAUGACUCCAAUGAGUAACUUAAAAAUACUAAAAUCUCAACGAAUAAACCUAAAAUGAUCCGAACCCAUAUUAAUGAAAUCCAAAAUUAAUCCUAAACAAAUAAUUUAAAAUUUUUAACUGGAAGCAACAGAACCUGACAGAUCUACCUCAAAGUAAAACUCAUUUCAAAGUGAGACAAAUUAGAUUAUUACUUGCAGUCUUGCAUACUACAGUCCUUAUAUAUAUAUGUCAGAUGUUUUAGGUAAUCUGUGACAAUGGAGUUCUUUCACUGUCUUGGACGUAGAUGUAGCCAACUGCCACAUUGAAUAGUAUUUCACUUCCAUCCUCAUCUGGACCCAAACUCGUCAUCUUUGUAGACUAAGGCUUAGUUUGGAUAGGCGGUGUGUUUACCUCCAGUGAGGUUAAAAACAGCGGUGGCGGUGAGAUUAGUUACUGUAGCAGUGAGAUUGGAUAUUGUAGCGGUGAGAUUAAAAACAAUGGUGGAGUGUGUGUUUGGAUUCAAACGCAGCUAUAGCGGUGAGAUAAGAAUAAAAAAUGACUAUUAAUGACAUCAGAUUAGAAUUGAUAUAUAAUAGAAGUUUUUAAAUUAUUUUACUUUUUUAAAAUUAUUAAAAUAUGUGAAUUUAUAAAUUAAAUUAAUAAAAUAUUAAAAUGUAUCUUCCAAUAUUUUAAUGAAUUAUAUAAUUAAUUUAAAUUAUUUAUUAGACAAAAUGAUAAUUAUUUUUAAUUUUUUAAAGUUAAAUAUUUUUUAUAACAAUGAUAAAUAUUAUUUUCAUAAAUAGUAACAUUAUACUUAGAUCAAAUUUUGAAGUAUCUAAAUAGAUGAUUUUUAAUUAAAAAAAUAUAAUAACAUAAGACAUAACAAGUUUCAUUAUUACUAGAAAUUUUUAAUUAUAAAUAAUUUAAAAUAAUAAAUAAUUUUUAAUUUUUAAUUAUAAAAAAUACUUAUUAAAUUUAAUAUGAAGAUUGUAUAUAUUAAAUUAAUAAUAUUAUUUGAAAUUCUUAAAUAGAAAAUUAGAUGUAAAAGGAUAAAAGAAAAAGUAAAAAGCAUGGAUGAAAAGGUACUUUCCAUCUUUCAAAUGGAGUUGCAAAUUCUCACUGCAUGUAGAACCUCCAGUGGCGCCACUGAUACUACAGCAUGAUGAGAAGACUCCAGUGCGGCAAUGGGUAAAAUCCAAACACCAAUAUCAGUGCGAUUGAUUUCAAAAAAAUGGUCUAAACGCACUGAAACGGGAGAUUUUUUGUAUCCAAAGAUAGCCUAAGGCUCCCUUUGGUUUGGCUUUUACAGCCAAUGAGGUGCAGUUGGGGAGAAAAAAUGGUGCCAAUCUCACUGCUAUGCUGUUUGGUUCAGCAAGUCAGUGCAGUGAGAUUGCAUCUCCACCACACUGCUCAGCUGAAAAUCAGCUGGUGAUUUCAGCAGCAAUGAAGGUGCAGUGAGCUAUUGGUACUUUAACUCUCCAAAAAUACCCUUACUUUAACUCUCCAUAUCUUCCCUCCUCCUACCAUGCUUCUCCUUCUUCAAUUUGUGCAACCAGUUCACUUCACAAAGCUACAGGUAAGUCAUUCAUCUGCUGCUGCAACUUCUGCUGCUGCAACUUCUGCCAUUUUCAACCAUGUUUGGUUGUGGUUGUGGUAGUGGACUUUUGUGGACUUUUCAACCAUUUUCAACUUCUGCCACUACCAAUCUUCUGCAACUUAUGCCAUUUCUCUGUAACAAAGGUGCACCGGAAACUUGAAGAAGAUGAUAGAUGGAUAGAACAAGAGAUAUAUAAUCGAUAUAAUAGAUGGACAGAACAAGAUGAUAGAUGGACAGUGUUAGAAUUGUGUGACCCAAAUUCUAAGAGAUUGCUUGCAAGUCAAGUUAAACAAAAAUAUAUUUUCUUUCUAGAAGAUUUAGUAUUUAUUAGUAUAAUAUAUUUAGCAUUUAUUAGUAUAGUUUAUUUGACUUACUAAUUUAGCCUAUAAAUAGGCUCUUUUACAAUCUUAGAAAUGAGACACACCCAUUAGAUUAGAACUCAUAACACAUUCAGAGAAUUUUGUGUUUACGUUUUCGGGUUCUUUGUUUUUCGGAUUUUCGAGUUUAGUUUUUAUCUCCAUCUUUUGUACUCUUCAUUCUUUUGCCAUUAUAGUAAAAUUAUCUUUGCCCGUGGUUUUUUAUCCUCUUUGGAGGGGUUUUUCCACGUUAAAUUUGUGUGUUCAUCUUCUCAAUUUCUUCUGUUAUUUGUACUUGUUUGUUGCUUAAUCGGGACGAUCCUAACAGACAGAAACCUGAAGAAGAUGAUAGAUGAAGAUGAUAGAGGUGUUAACUUUGCAAUACAACUACAACAUUUCUAUGAUGGGUUGGAUGGACAGAACAAGCGACAAUUUGAUUUUAUAGCUAGAGGGAGUAUUUGGUUAAAAAUAGGAAGAUAAAUAAUCGAUAUAUUGGAAAAUGUCAGCAAGAAUGAGCUUACAUGGGGCAUAAACCAAGAGAUAUAAAACGCUAACCUAGCAGAAUGUACACUCCAAAAGUAAACAUCUUAUAACCUGGAAUUAGGAACAUUAGAUUUUGUUGAGCCUAAUAAAGAUGAACCAGAGGAGGAAAGUAUGAAUAAUGCAGAACAAGAGAAAAACGAGCUAGCCUUUCAACUUGACUGGUGGUGUAAAAGUAAAGAAUAUCCAAAACAGGUAAUUCCAACCAUAACUAAAAUGGUUCCUUUUAUUAUUAAAACACCUAAAUUGGAAUUGAAACCACUGCUUGAACACUUGAAGUAUGAGAUGUUUGGGAGAAAAGAACACCUUGCCAGUAAUUACAUACAAGGAGUAUGUAAAAAUAACUUUUUCAAAAAAUAUUAAUAAAUAAUUUAAAUUAAUUAUAUAAUUUAUUAAAAUAUUAGAAGAUAUAUUUCAAUAUUUUAUUAAAUGAAUUUAUAAAUUCACAUAUUUUAAUAAUUAAAAAAAAGUAAAAUAAUUUUAAAAACUUCUAUUAUAUAUCAAUUCUAAUAUGAUGUCUUUAAUAGCAAUUUCUUAUCCUCAACUCACCGCUACAGUGCGUUUGAAUCUAAACACACACUCUACCAUUGUUUCUAAUUUCAUCGCUACAGCAUCCAAUCUCACCGCUACAGUAAUUAAUCUCACUGCCACCGCUGUUUUUAACCUCACCGGAGCUAAACACACCGCCCAUCCAAACUAAGCCUAAAUCAUAUACGCAAACAAUCCAAAAAUCUAUUGACUUGACUCAUAUUUUUUAUUAAGGAUCAGAUAAUCUUCUACGAUGGACCAAAACUUUAUCCCUUACUAAAAGCACCCAUAUCAUAAAUUUCAUAAUAUAGCUGAGCUCUCUCGUCUUAUGAUCCAAACAAGGAGGUAAAGCCAAAAAAAAAAAGAAAUGCAGAGCUCCACAGUUUUCAUAACCCUGUGGCUGUUAUUAAUAGUCUUUUCCGUGCUUAGCCCUGAAACUGAAGCUCAGCCGCCCACUUAUCGCUACCACGUUUGUCCUAACACCACCACUUUCCUCAUAAAUAGCACUUACCAAGCCAACCGUGAUACCCUCUUAACUUCUCUAUCGUCUAAUGGCAGCCGUGGUAAUGGUUUCUACAACACAACUUCAGGCAGAAACCCCGACACGGUUUACGGUCUUUUCCUCUGCCGUGGGGAUCUUUCUACCAGCGUUUGUCAAGCGUGUGUCACCUUCGCCUCUACAGACAUUUCCCGACGUUGUCCUGUUGAAAUAGCAGCGGUGGUUUGGUACGACGAGUGCCUCCUACGAUACUCGGACGAAAAUAUAUUUUCCGCCGUGGCUGAAGAACCUGCAAUUGUAUUGUUUAAUACUAAGAAUGCAACUGGGACAGAAAUCCCUUUCGACCAGCUAGUGGCUGCCACAGUUGUUAUGAACAUGAACGAUAUAACAACCCAAACGGAAAAUAAACCCGCAGGUUCUAAAAAAUUUGCGACAAGAGAGACCAAACUUUCAAGUUUUCAAACACUGUACACGCUCGCCCAGUGUACACCGGACUUAUCAGGCAGUGGUUGCAGUAGAUGUCUGCAAGGAGCACGAGAAAAUCUUCCAAAUGGAUGGCAAGGCGGAAGAGUGUUGAGUCCUAGCUGCAACGUCAGAUAUGAAACUUACCCCUUCUAUAAUCUAGCGGCUGUUUCACCUCAACCUCCUCCAGCACCAGGUUUAUCCUCACUGUUAAUUGAUAAAUUUGAUUCUUUCCUUUUUCCUUUUUUAUAGUUCAUGAAAAAAAGAAAACAAGAUUCACUACAUUCUCUUUUCUUUUUUCUUUUUGGUCGGUAAUUUGUAAAUUAAUAUAUAGGUAAAGAACAAGCCCCUGUUUUCAUGAGGAUUAGAAUGAACUGAAUUGAGAAUAUCUAAUUCUGCUCUUAUUUAAUUAGAAGAAGAGAAACAAAACAAAUCAAACCGGAUUCCAGUACUUGUUGCAAGUUUAUCAGCAAUUUUUGGGCUGGCUGUGGUUUUUAUCUCUGCUUUCUUCAUCUGGAGGAGGAGAAACAGUAGAGGUACACAUCGGAGUGAUCUUUCUGGCAAGUAUUAUAACUUCUUUUUAUAUUCUUAUGCUGAUCAUAUUAUGAUUUUAUUACAGACGAAGAAAACAGCCAAGAAGUUCAAUUACUUGGCUUGGUAAAUGAGCACUCAAGGGAAACUUUUAACGGAGAAAAUGGGGAGAGAUCUCAGGAGUUUCCUUCUAUACGGUUGGAUGUUUUACAUGCAGCUACAAAUCACUUUUUUGAUGAAAAUAAGCUGGGACAGGGUGGAUUUGGUCCUGUAUACAAAGUUAUUAUAUAACUUGAAACUUUUAUGUGAGUUGGCUUUAGAACUGAUGUAUGCGAAUUAAGUAUGUGAAUACUCCUGCAUUUGAAUUUUGAUAUGCUAUGUAAAUGAAUGAAUUCUUCCAGGGAACAUUAGCAGAUGGUAAAGAAAUUGCAGUUAAAAGGCUGUCAGAAACUUCCAGUCAAGGGCUUGUUGAAUUCAAGAAUGAAAUCAUGUUAAUUGCUAAACUACAACAUAGAAAUCUUGUGAGGCUCUUAGGAUGUUGCUUAGAGAAAAAUGAGAAGUUGCUUGUAUAUGAAUUCAUGCCCAACAAAAGCCUGGACGUUUUCCUAUUCGGUUUGAUUCUUGAACCUUUAACUAAUAAGAAAAAAAACAUGAAACAAUUAAUGAAAAUGUACUCAUUUGUUUAUUUUUUAUUCUUUUUUUCCACAUUUAUAUCAGAUUCGAAAUUAGCUGCUCAACUGGAUUGGCAGAAACGAUUCAACAUUAUUAAAGGAAUUGCUCGAGGUAUUUUAUAUCUACAUGAAGAUUCUCGUCUAAAAAUUAUACAUAGAGACCUUAAAGCAAGUAAUGUUCUACUCGAUCAUGAGAUGAAUCCAAAAAUUUCUGAUUUUGGUAUGGCAAGAAUUUUUGAAGAUAAAAACGAAGCAAAUACCAAUAGAGUCGUUGGAACAUAGUAAGUAUGCAUAUUUUCAUGACACAUUCCUUUACAGUGAGAGGCUUAUGGGAAUAUUUUUAUUUAAUUAUUUUCUUUGUUUAUAAAAUUUUCUAUGAUAUCAUCUAAUUUUAUUUUAAUAAAUUGUCUCUUUAUUUCUUAUGAAUUAAAAUAGUGGAUAUAUGGCACCAGAAUAUGCUAUGGAAGGACUCUUUUCUAUCAAAUCUGAUGUUUUCAGUUUUGGAGUCCUUUUGUUGGAGAUUAUUAGUGGACAAAAGAACAAUGGUUUUCAUCAUUUAGAGCAUGGUGAAAGCUUGUUGACUUUUGUAUGUUCUUUAUCCUCCCUUUUGUCCUCAAACUAUAGAUUAAAUGUUUUAACCAUUCUACGAAUAAUUUUAAGCUACAAUUGUAGGCAUGGAAAUUAUGGUCCAAGGGCGAAGGAAUGGAGCUAAUAGAUCAGGUCCUUGUUCCUUCAUGUGUGGCUUUUGAGGUGCUUAAAUGCAUUCAUAUCGGGCUAUUAUGUGUGCAAGAAGACCCGGCAGAUAGACCAACCAUGUCAUCUGUGAUUUUCAUGUUGGCAAGUGAUAGUACCAUAACACUUCUUUGUCCAUCUGAACCAGCAUUUUCCGUUGGGCGUGCAAUUACAAAACCAGCUGAACCUAUUUCAGAUGAUGGAGUCUUUUCGGUUAAUGAGGUCACAAUUUCAAAUUUCUCACCUCGCUAAUUUGAUUGUUGUACUAACAAUACUAGUUUAUCAAAAAACUUUCAUUUUUAUUUCCCAGUCUAAAUUAACAACUAUGAAUACUAAAGCCAUGAUUUGUAAGAACUUGAACCUGAAACUAUAUAUACAUAUAUUUGAAUUUUAAAUUGAGUAUCAAGUUGGUGAUAAAUCAAUUUAAGAAUAUUAAUUUUUUACUCAAAAUUUUUAAUGUAUCGUGUCGAAACCACUUUUUGAAACAAAAAUUUAGUUGUCCGACUUUGAAAAUGAAAAUGGGAGUCGCCACCGAUCAUUUAUUGAGGUGUGAUCGGCUCACCUUGAAAAUGAUUUUGGUCUGCAAAUUUUGAGAAAACAGGUUCGGGAGUCGAUUACGCACGAGGAAAUGUUAGCACCCUCGUAACGCCCAAAAUUGGUACCUAAUUGAUUGUUUAAUGUCUUAGUGUCGAAAAUUUGAAAAGAUUUUAAAAUACGAUUCUUUUAACUUGAAUAAAUUGAAUAAUAAAACACUCUUAUUUCAAAUAAAUAAAAUGUCACACCCAGUGAGUUAGGGCGCAGCAUUUUUAAUCUUUUGACUUUUAAAACUCAUGCAUGUUGAGAAGGAUAUUUGGUUGUUUGGGUCAAAUAAAAAAUCAAAAUCCAGUAAGUUAGGGUUCAAUUUCCCAAAAUUCCUAAAUACCGCAUAUUGCUUUUAUUUUUAGAAGAAUCCUCAUCUCGAGAAAACAACAUGUCAUAUCCAAUGCGUUAGAACACAACGUAUCGAAUUCCCGAGAAUGAGCUUUUUUUAUUUAUGUGUUUUGAUUAAAGCAUAUCCUCGAUUAUUUAGAUUCAACGAGGAAAAUUAGAACCCAAUACAUUAGGGCUCAAUCUUCUCGAAGAUCCCAAAUGGCGAGUAUUACGUUAUCAUGAAAGUUUUGAAUAAAAUGAUUUUAAUAUUUAAAUGAAACAUAAUCUUAAAAUACAUGCAAAUGAACUCGAAUAAUCUAUCAACACAAACGAAAUGAUAUAAUGUACACGAUAUUACAUAAAAAAAAUUAAAAAGAAGUAAUAACUAACGUGAAGAUUUGAAAUAUUUAAAAAUAAAACUUGAGAUGAAUACUACAUGAAAUAAUAUUUAAAUGAAUUUUAAAAUGAAUAUUGCAUGAAAAGAAAACCAAAAUACGUGAAACGAUAUAUACACGUUAAUUUAGAUAAAUGUUACAUAUGGAUUGGAAGAUUUCCUACAAUGAUAUAUGUAUAUUAAUAUGUAUAAAAAAAUUGAUGUAAAUCAAGUAUAUAAUAGGAUAAUGUUUUAAAUGAAGCAAAUUAUGUAUGUAAUAAGUAGAGGAUAUGUAAAUGUGAAAUCGAUGAUAUGUUAAUAAUCAAAGAUAAUUUAAUACAAAUUAUAAAUUUAUAUAUGUAUUAAAAUAACAUUAUAUAAAAACAUUAUUGGUUUUUAAAGCAUAAAAAUAUGCAUACAUAAAAAUUUUAGAGCAGAUAUAUUAUAAAAAUAAAUCAUAAAAAAUAUCUGGAUAAUAUUAGAUUAACAUAGAAAUAUAUAUAUAUAUUAGAUAAGAAAAGAAUUAAAAUAACUUUGUAUAAUAAAAUAAAAUAUUGUACAUAUGUAGAAAUAAAUAAACAUGUAAACUAACAUAAUAGUAAUACCAAUAAUAAUAACAGUAACUAAGAAACUUAAAUAAUUUUAUAGCGACAAUAACAAAACAAAGGACUUAAUUGACAUUAAAACAGUAAUUCAGAGAGGAAAUCUAAAAUAAAUAAAAGGUUGGGACCAAAUUACAAAGCACGAAUAACAUGGGGGAUCAGAAUAAGAAAUAUCCUGUCUCCCAAAACGCUUCAUAGCAUAAUGGACCCAGAUGAAAUCAACAACAAAUUGUGUUGCUCAAAAUUAAAGAAAUUCAAAAGACCGAAUUGAAAUACAACACAAAAUGAGGACUUGGUUCCCAAUUACCCCUCCCCACACCAAACACGCGGAUCUAGCCGCAGUUGGACCGAGUCAUCAGGUAUAGCUCAAUACGACACCGUUUUGGUGCCAUCGAAGCAAGGCACAAACGGUGCCGUUUCAAUAAUAUGUAUUAAACAAAGAAAACUAAACCUAAGCAACCCUAAAGCCAUCCCUUCUGCGCCGCAUCAAAAAUCGAAAGCCCCCCAUCCAUUCAACUCCAAUCCGAACGGAGGGAUUCGGUGACGCACCAACCCCAAGUAUGAGUUCUUCCUUUUCUUUUCUAUUUUUCGUAUCAAAGAAAGAAAGAAGAAAAAAAAAGUGCAGUAGAAAGACGUAAAAAAAUGGUAAAUCACCUUCUUUGAUUUUUUUUAUUCAGUAUGUCUGUAUUCCAUCGUAAAAAAGGAGACCCUCAGUACAUCAAGAAAUCAGGCUUUUAUAGCCUAAAAAAAUGAAAAAAAACUCUAUUUUCUAUUUUCUUUUUCCCUUUCUUUUUUUCUGUUAUCUUUCCCUUUUUCUGUUAUUUGCUUUUCUUUGUUGUUGCUUGUGUGCGUUCGUUGCAAGUACAGCUGGCCUGGAGAAGACACGCGUGGAGGAGUCGGAGACUACUGGCACACGCGCGGACGAACCUAGUUUCCUAGUGCGGCUGCUGGAGCUGAAAGCUGUUGAAGGCUAGGGUUUCAAUUUGAAUCGGGCCAUGUAAACUGGGUUAGAGUAUUUUGGGCUCGGGUUUGAUGUAAUUUGGGUUAUCAGGCUUACAGCGUGUUUGGUUCGCCGUAUUACCCAAUCCAUUACGCCCCGAUUACGCGCGUAUUACAUUACGCCCCUAAUCCGGCGUUUGGUUCGCUGUAUUAGCCAUUACGCGCGUAUUACAUUACGCCCCUAAUCCCCAAAUUCCCGUGUUUUACAAUCCGUUCCCAAAUCGUUGUAUUAGCCAUUACGCCCGGCCUCCCUCCCCAUCUCUCUGUUUUACCCUCCCUCCCUACCCGACCCUCUCCUCUUCCGUCCUAAUCAUUUUCUCCUCCCAUUUCCCACUGAUUCCGUUGAUUAAUCUGUCGUCAUCGUUUCUUCUCGUCUCGGCAUCAAAUUUCCCUUCCCCAUUUCCUCCCAACACUAUCUGCUCCGCACACCAAAACCCUCUCUUUUUCUCUUCAAUAUAUUCACAAAAUUGGAAAUUCUAGCAGCAGCAGCAGCCAAAACAGUAACCAGCAGCAGCCCCUCUUUCUUCUCUUUCUUUCGAUUUCACACUUCUCAUAAAUGGAACAUUUCAAUCAGAAAAUGGAAAAGAGAAAUCAGUUGCAUGAGAAGGAAAAUUACUAAGGUUGUUGGUUUGCAUAUUUAACUGGGUUAAUCUUAGAAAUCUUGAGGGAGAAAACUUGUGACAUAAUGCAGACUAUUAGUUAGAACAGGAACUAUGUUUGGUGAUACCCUCUGAGAGUAGUAAUUUUUGGUAAUAGAGAGGAUGGUUAAGCAGUACAACUUUCGAUUAUGACUGCAGGAGGGUCUGACUAGGACAUUCAUUAAACAUUGGCUUAGGACUAAUAACUAUUUGUGUGCAAGAAGGUAGAAAUAUUUGUUAGUAAGACUUCUUAAAAAUUGGAUGUAGGGUUAAUAGUAUUAAGAAAACUGUAUUAGUUGUAUGUUUGGUGCCGCCCUGGUCUGUGAAUGGUGAUUUGCUCUUUAGGUGGGGAUUUUGAUGAUUACCUGAUUUUGGUUUAUGCCUGUUUUUGCAAGCAGCAUUUUGGCAUCUAUGUUGAAGCUAGUAGCCAAAAGAAUGGAGGUUUUAUGCUUGGUAGCAGUUUUGAGUAGUAUUGAAAAUUUUAGAAAGGGACAAAGAUAAACACAUACACACACAUCGUGUAGGUGCAAACCUAAGAAGAAGAAUGAAGUUCCUCUAGCAAGUAUCUUAGCCAAAUAAGUCCACAGAAGAAUGAGCCAUAGCUGUGUAGCCUUAUUUGGUACUUGGUCUUGCAACAAGGGCCUUCUUCUUAAUCUUCCAUGAUAAAGAUAGUUGUAGAGAUAUCUAUCAAUAUCUUGAGGGUGGCAGUGAGUGUUAUACAAUUGAUGACUAUUUAGGUUGAUCUGAUGUAUUUGAGAAGUAUGUCGUAAAUAAAAGUAAUAUGCUAUGUUUACAACUGAUGGGAAAUUUUGAAGUUCAGUGAUGUAAUGAGGUCGGAAAUUUCCAUGUCAAGAUAACCAUGUAGCAUUUCCAACUUUUUCUAUAACGUAUCAGCAACUAGGGCUGUUAUUCUUUUAUUUUAGUCAUAACCUUGGUGUUUGUUAUGGUCAUUGUAAUGUCAUUGCAAAGGCCGAUGCAUAAUUUGGCUCCUUUUAGAGUUUCUGAUUGUACCGGAUGCACAUCUGCCUUUGGAACCUCGAGUCAAAAUAAAAUGUUAUGAUCUUUUCUUGCCCUAGAUUAUUGAAACCUGUCCGGAUAACAUGAUUAACACCUACUUUUUAGAUGCUUUAAGCUUGAACAUGCUUUAUUGUUCUUUCAUAAAACCGCAAAUUUGUUGCUCAUGUCUCAGCAAUAGAUAUGAAAAAAUUUGGGACUUGUUUAUGUGUAAUUUCUUUUUCCUUUGAAAACUGUAAGUAUAACUCUUAAAAUUGCUUCUGUACCUCUAUGUUUGAAUCAUUGAAAUUGCAUUUGCUAAUUUUUGAACUCAUUGAUAUUCUCUUCAGUGGCUCUCUAAAAACAUUGGUAAGAAGGUGGAUAAGUCAGCUCUCUCUAAUGGAUCUGCAAUGACAGGUACACCGUUUAUUGUUCCAGGUUACUAUUAAUACUCAUCGGGCUAAUUUUUGUUUUCAUUUGUGCAGAUAAGAGUACAUCAGCACCAUCAGGUGUUCCGACUGCUUCUCUUAAAGUCCUUCGUCCAGAUACAUCUCAGAUGGUGAUUUAUGAUCCAAGGCAGCAUCAUGGUACAAGCUUUUGCUUGAGUAAAAAUAUAUGCCUGUGAUUUUUUCAAUGGUAUUCUAUUUUUUUAGCAACUUCAUUGGGCCACGAAUGGAUGGAGUAUCUCAUUUUGUCAUCUUGUUUAAUUAUGGUGUUGACUUGUUCAUAUACAUUGGUCAUUAGCAGUAUUGAACUUGAAACUAAAGAUAUCCUUUGCGUAGACUUAUGCAGUCAUUUAUGCAUGAAAUAGGCAUAUGAUUCUGUAGAAAAAUUAGACCUCAUUGCCUCAAUAAUCAUGUGGUUGUUUCCAAUAGUUUUUUAGUUUCCUUUGCUACUUUAGGUUGUUGUCUUUGUUUUAAUUAAAGUCUUAUCUAUUUGCUUUGGUCAUUAGCGAGAUUGCAAUAGAAGCUUUCAAGAAGUCCUUUUUAGAGAAUUAUGUGGUCAUCUGUGUAUGAAUAUUCAAGCACUGCUUUGAUGUGAUUAACAAAUUUACUCUUCUGAUUCUUUCUAGUGAACAUCUGAUGUAAUUUGACUUGGAAAUGAAAUUAACCAAAACUAUUGUUAUUCAUGUAAGUGAUACGGGAAAUGAGAGCAAUUAAAAUGCUCCGUAGGUUUUGUUUGUCUGAUCGAGCUCUUCAUUCUUAGGUGAGGUCAUAUGGCUGAUUCUGGGAUUUAUCUUAUUAGAUGGUCUUUGAUGCACACUGGUGAAUACGAAAGAUUAUGAGAUGUGCAUGCGCCCGAGUAAUUUAUAAAUCAAGCCUAAAUCAUUGAUCUAUAAAUAGCAAAGCAGUUUUACUUAAAACUGUCAUAUAUGUCCAGGAAUAUGCCUAUUCAUCUUUGUAUAACUACCGUCGUGAAUCUUGGAAAUGGCAAACCAAAUAUGAGUAUUAAGAGAAAAGAAAUAUAAAAUGUAUUAGAAUGGUAAACGAUAAAGAGAAAAGCUCAAGUUAGCCAAAGGGCCAGGCAUUGAAAAGGAAAAGGAACCAUAGAGAUUCUCCAAUUUUCAAAGUCAAGGGUGUUGGCUUAGAACGGGUCAAACAUAAACAUGUAUCUCCUAUGCUACUAUUAUGCGUUUAGAAGUGGUGACCCCUAACUAGCUUAUAACUUUGUUGAAAACAGUAUUGUAUUAACUUCAAGAGAAAUGAUGCUGGGUGAUCGUGUGGUGCAGUGUAGUUAUAUUUCCGUUUUCAAUAUAUUAACUUCAAUAGAAACGGUGCUGGUUGAUCAUGUGAUGCGGUGCAGUUAUACUCCUUGGUGUAACUUUUAAGGAAUUAUAGCGGUUAGGAUUUUACGUUGUUUCUUUUUUCCAUUCCCUUUUUUGUGUAAUUUCCUCAUCGAGAUAGAAGAGGGAAGGUUUUGAGAGAGGCUGGGGUCGGAUGUUUAAAAUCUAUAUCUGAUAUGUACAACAAAUUAUUUUAUUUUGCUGUUCUUUUGGGCUUGAUAAUGGCUUUAAAGGUCACCAGCUUUUAGCAGUUCUGCUCAUUUACCUUCCGGCAAUUGACAUGACUUAGAGUGGCAAAUGUUAUGCUUUUACCUCUUAUAACAUUGAAUUGUAUGCUUGUUGAAUCAUAUUGAAAUGCUAGAUACUUAACUGACUAAACUUGUUUGAAUGUAGGAACUACAGUUCCAUCAAACACCACUACUGCAAUUCUUGCUGCUCCCAAUUUGUCGAAUCCCAUGGCUACAGUUGUUGGUGCUGCUUCAAACCCAUUAACCUAUAAUUUGUAGUUGAAUUUGAAUUAUGAUCCAAAAUGCAACAUAUCAAUGAUGAAAUACGGCGAUGCAUCUGCUUGAAUUUCUCUGUCUAGUUGGCCUUUUAAGUCCCUUCUGAUUUGGUAUCCUUGGAAAAUUAUUUGUUUUGCACUCUUGGCAUUUUAAUAUCAUAUUAGAAUAACUAGUUUAUAACUUUGGAGUAAUGAUUCAUUGUAAUUUUACCCAUUUUUAUAUAUUUCUUUAAUUUUUUAGUUCAUCACAAGGUUCAUGCCAUAGGGGCAAAGCUAAAAUCAAAAAAUAAAAAAGAACCUCAUUGAGGAAGAAAAUUCAGAGAAUAAGGUAAGAAAACCAAAAAAUAUAGCAACUGAGAGAAUAUACAGAGCUAUGUUUCUCCGACUCUUCAUUUUGCUUGAAGUAUCCCUUUUUUAUACCCCUGUCAGAGUAUUCAUUUUUCUUAAAGUAUUUGGUUUCAACACCCAUGCCCGACGAUGAAAGAACCUCUUUGAGAAAGUUAUACAAUAGAUUUAUUAUAUAAAUUAUUUUAAAUUAUAUAAAUUCAUAUAAGAAAAUUUAUUAUCAAUAAUUUUAUGAAAUUAUAUCUUAUUAAAUUAUAUGUAAUAAUAAUUAUUUUAAAUUAUACAAAUUCAUAUAAGAUAAUUUAUUAGUUAUAAUUAUUUUAAAUUUUAUUAAAUCAUAUAUUUUAUUUAAAAUAUAUUUAAUAUUAAUCAUUUCAAAUUAUCUUUUAUAGUAUCAUAUAUUAUGAUUUGAGUAAAUUCAUAUAAGAAUAUUAAUUAUUAAGAAUUUUAUUAAAUUAUAUAUUUUAAUUAUAAUAUAUUUAAUAUAUUUAAUAAUUAUUAUGUUUAAAUAUGAUUAAAUUAUUUAUUUUUGAUAAUAAAUAAUCUUAUUAAAAUUUAAAUAGCAAUAACAAUAAUCAUUUACCAAAACAAAUUUAUGCUAAGGGUAUUCUGGUCAUUUUAGUUUUCUCCAUUAUGCUAUUACACCUCUAUUACAUUCAACCAAACACAGUUUUACUAUUACGCCUCUAUUCCAUUACAUUCAACCAAACAGUUGAUUUGCUAUUACACCUCUAUUCCAUUACACCUCUAAUCCAAUACACCUCUAAUCCAAUACACCUCUAAUCCAAUACAGCGAACCAAACGUGACGUUAAUGUAUUUAGGUAAUUUAGGUUGGGUUAAUUGGGCUAUCAGUUUGUAAUUUGGGCCUGGUGUUGGUUAAUGUAAUUAGGUAAGGGGUUAACAAUCAGAUUUGUGAUAUUGGGGCUUAGUGGUCUGAUGUAUUUUGGGUUUGGGUAAAUUAAUUGGGCCUACUGUUGUAAUAAACUGGACAUUUAUUUGGUUUAUUUUAUUUCAUUUUAAUUUGGUGUUUAUUUAUCUAUGAUUUUAGACCCAGGCUAAAAUUGGGUAUUACAUAUCGAAGCACCUAAGAAAGUUGAAAAUUAUAUGGAUUUAUACUUUCUAAAGCAUAUAUAAUUUAGCUACUCUUUGCUAUUUGCAUAAGGAAACAAACAUAUAGCAGGGAAGAGUGUGAUUUUUAUACUCUUGUAAUGAUAAAGGAGUUGCAAUAAUUUAUUUCAUUAGUUUACACUUAAUCUGGAAUUCAAUUUCAAUAAAAGAAUCCAGUUAACUUCCAAAGACUAGUCUUGCAUCUAGAAAUUAAGAGUUUGGAUACGUGUUACCUUGUGCAAAGUGUCGCUACUUUGUGCAAGUUUCUCGUAUGCUCAGUUCAGAUUAAUUCAAAUUAUAUGGAAAAUUAUAACUGUGUUUGACAAAAAUACAAAUUUGUAUGGCUUAUGUUACUCCGACAACAAUAUGAUAUUUCAUUGCUCGAACCCGACGAUUUGAUGAGGAAAUAAAGGGUUACAUUUAGUAAUAUCAGUAACCAAGUCAAUGGAAUGCUUUCACUGUCCCUGACAUGGUCAUGUAGCCAACUGCCACCUUGAAUAUUAUUUUUUGUUCACUUCUGCCCCAUCCAUUCAUUGGGAAGCCCUAAACAAAAUACAGCAAGAAUAGUUCAACAUGCGUAAAUUAAUGUUUUUAGUCAUAUUGACAAAGAAUUGACUAACUUGUGUAGCUUCCUCGAACAGAAGCUGCUUUAUCAUCUUCAUCUUGUGAGAACGGGUCAACAAAAUACAGCCACCUUCGACAAUUGAACUUUUAAUUUGUAAGUGAAUUCCUUAAAGAAACAUGCAACGGAAAUUUCAAGAACAAUAUUGUUUCAGUUCUUGUUUUCAGGUUUAACAUUUACAUACCUCGUUACUCUCACCAUUUCCUUCGACCCUUAUUUCCAGCGUUAUUGGGGAACAUCAUCGGCAACUACACCGCCAAUAGUGCCUACGAGCGUGACCUGAAUAGCAUCUUCAAGGAGAUCACCUCUACAACAAAAUCCAAUUAUCGGUUUUACAGCAACAAGGUCGGCGAAGUCAACGCCAUGGCACUUUGCAGAGCAGAUGUUAAGGUAGAUGUUUGCACUAGUUGUUUAUAGGAAAAUAUCUAAUUAUUAUUAAAAAAAAAGUUAACAAUUCAAAUCUAAUUAUUUUGAACUUGAAUUGACACAUAGAAUAGAUUUAAACUCAAAAUGACUCAAACAAAUCAUUUCAAAUUACUAAAGUCUAAAAAGAUCAAAACUCGAUCCAAAUUUAUAAUGACGAACUUAAAAGGCUAGUACUUCAACCAUAAAUAAUUCAAAAUCCUAAAUUAAUCCUAAUUGAAAUAAUCUAAAAAUUUUAAAACUAGAUUACUUGCAGGCUUGCUUAUUACAGUCCUUGAAUACAUGUCAUUUAUUGGUAACCAAGUCAACGGAGUGCUUUCAUUGACCCGAACAUUGUCAUGUAACUAACUGCCACAUUGAAUAAUUAUUUAUCAUUUACUUCCGUUCCAUCGAUUCAUUGCGGAUCCAGCUCUUCUUGUAGACCAAUUUACACAACAAGACUGCUUUAUCAUAUUCGUAUUGUUAGAACCAGUCAACAAAAUACAGCCACCUUCAACAAUUAAACGUUUAAUUUGUAAGUGAAUUCCCUAGAGAAAAUGGCAACGGAAAUUUCAAGAACAGUACUGUUUCACUUCUUGUUUUCAGGGUUUAACAUUUACAUUCCUCGUUACUUUUGCCAUUUCCUUCGACCCUUAUUUCCUGCAUUCUUGUGCAAACAACAUCGGCAACUACACCGCAAAUAGUGCUUACGAGCGUGACCUCAAUACCAUCUUCAAACAGAUCACCUCUAUUACGAAAUCGAAUUACGGAUUUUACAGCAAGAAAGUCGGCAAAGUCAACGCCAUGGCACUUUGCAGAGCAGAUGUUAAGCUAGAUGUUUGCACUGGUUGUUUAAAUGAAACUAUAUCAAGGGUCAAGCUGGAUUGUCCUAACAACAAAGAAGCUAUCGGAUGGUCUGCGGAUUGCACGUUACGGUACUCGAACACAAACCUCUCCGAGAAGUUGGAAAUUAAUCCUCAAACCUGUCUAUAUAAUACAGGAUCUACGGCUGAUGAGUACUUUCAGCUCAGACUCGGAGAGUUGUUGAGUGACCUGCGUAAUAAAGCAGCAGCAGGGGGUGCUCUUCUUAAAUACGCAGCAGGUAACUCGUCGCUCAGGGCUUCGGAAAGAUUAUACGCUCUAGUGCAGUGCACUCCUGAUUUGUCUGAAGGAGACUGCAAUCAUUGUCUUGAUAAGGCGGC
rnacentral:lncRNA from 1 species